rnacentral:rRNA from 1 species
GACGAACCGUCCGAACGUUAUUCGGAAUCACUGGGCUUAAAGGGUGCGUAGGCGGCGCAGUAAGUAGGGUGUGAAAUCCCUCGGCUUAACCGAGGAACUGCGCCCUAAACUACUGUGCCCGAGGGAGAUAGAGGUGAGCGGAACUUAGGGUGGAGCGGUGAAAUGCGUUGAUAUCCUAAGGAACACCGGUGGCGAAAGCGGCUCACUGGAUCUCUUCUGACGCUGAGGCACGAAAGCUAGGGUAGCGAACGGG